GGGAGGGAGGGAGGGAGGCAGGGAGGCAGGCCGGGGCAGCCCCUCCUAGCCCAACCAAUCACAUGCCCUGUACAGACUGUCAUUUCUCUGAGCGCUUAAACAUGUGAGAGCGAGCGAGCGAGCGCGAGGGUGGCGCCUGAGCGGGGGCCUGGUGUUUGUCAUUUGAGCGGGGUGGAGCUUGCCCCGGCGCUCACGGAGUGGCCCACCCGUUUCUGCUUUACCCGCACAGACAGGAAGUAGCACACGUGGCGUCACAGUGACACCUGCUGGACAGGUAUUGGAUAGGAAGGAAGUCCUUAUUUCCUGCAGUAAAAGAUAAAACACUGGAUUUGUUCGGUCACAGCCUCAACCAUCAAAGGAUUUUGUUACAAAACACAAUGCCAUGAGGAUAACUGCCCGUGCAGAAAUAGUUCAAAGGCAGUUAUUCAUUUCAAAUCCUUUUUUCUAAAUAAGUAACUUAUUUUUUUCCAGUCUCUCAAGAAGUCAGUGUUAGUCAGUGUAAUGUAGAUUUGCAUAAAUUAGCAUAAAAUGCUCAUCUGUUAUAUACUGUCUGCUGUUCAGGUGCUGGAAUGUCCAGAUAAUGUUUACAUGUGUAAAUAAACAAUAAAUGGCAAAAAAAAAGAAAACGUAUUUAUGAAUCGUCAGAAUUCCAGUAUACUUAGUUCAGUUCUGGUUCUGUGUGGGAUGAGACCGUGGCUGGAUUCGAGACAGGUAUGAUGAUGAUGUUGUUGUUGUUGUUUUUUAUUUUAAAUAUAUGCUGUAUAAAUGCACAGGACUGUCUCUAGUACAGUGGAUUUUUUUUGUAUGCUGUAAAAAUGCACCGGACAAUGCUGACACUUAACUGUACGGGAUACGUAAUCCCCACUUGUAUGCACAUAGUAUAUCUAUCUCCUGUACCUGCACCUCACCCAAAAACCUUACAGUUUGUGUAUCGCAUCAAGGCAAGGACCAAAAAAUGUAAAAAGAUGUGAAAUAUGUUGAUUGUUGCUUUUAAUAUUCUUUGGGGCUUUUUUUUGGUCACUUUAGCUUAUGGAUAUAGAGGAGUCUUGUUGUAGUUUGUCUUUUGGUUAAUUGAAAUGUGUUUUCUCGUGCCUUCCAAAUAAGCCCAAAGUAUAAAUACCACACUGGUCAACCACAGCGGGUGAACAGAUCAACUGCAGCAGGUCAGGUCAGGAGUGACUUUCAGUCCCGUCUGUUUUUGACCCUUAAGUGCAAUUCACGCCCAACUUGCCUCUUAAAUAUUUAGCCUAUAGUCCUCACAAGAUUUUAAUUAUUCCCUUUAUCCUAGUAAUUACAAUGUUCAUAAUACAUUUCAAAACUAAAAUCUUCCACUUUCAUCAUCGAUUAGUCAAUACAUUUCAGGUCCAUUUCCCCUUGUCCACAUUCUCGUGUGUGUGUGUGUCUGUGUUUGACUCUGGCCAAGGAGUGGUUUCCUCUGCACCUGUGACUACUCAGCCAAAAUGUGUGUGAUUCUGCAGUCUUGGAUUCGUUGAUGCUGAUAUGAUGUCUCUGCUUCUUGAUUUUAUGGGUCUGUCAAGUUUGCCUGUGAGUUUAUAGUUUUAUAGGUUUCUUUCAAUAAAGUAUACUUUGCUGCUUUUGUAAA